rnacentral:tRNA from 3 species
GCGGCCAUAAUUUAGUGGCAGAAUACGUCCUUGCCAAGGACGAUGUGUGGGUCCGAUUCCCACUGGCCGCA